rnacentral:rRNA from 1 species
CCUACGUGUGGCAGCAGUGGGGAAUAUUGGGCAAUGGGCGCAAGCCUGACCCCGCAAUGCCGCGUGAAGGAAGAAGGCUUUCGGGUUGUAAACUUCUUUGACAGGGGAAGAGCAGAAGGCGGUACCCUGAAAACAAGCCACGGCUAACUACGUGCCAGCCGCCCCGGUAAUACGUAGGUGGCAGGCGUUGUCCGGAUUUACUGGGUGUAAAGGGCGUGUAGGCGGGAAGGCAAGUCAGCAGUGAAAUCCGGGGGCUCAACCUCCGAAUUGCAUUUGACACUGUUUUUCUUGAGUAUAGGGGAGGCAGACGGAAUUCCUUGUGUAGCGGUGAAAUGCGUAGAUAUAAGGAGGAACACCAGUGGCGAAGGCGGUCUGCUGGACAGCAACUGACGGUGAGGCGCGAAAGCGUGGGGAGCAAACAGGAUUAGAUACCCGAGUAGUC